CGGGAACGAAAGAUGUCUGCUGUGCCACAAGGCGCAGAGGAAAGUCCGGACACCUUGGGCAGGAUACUUCCUAACGGGAAGCUGCAGCAAUGCAGAGCCAGCUCCACAGAAACAAACCGCGUGGUGCCUCGGGCACCCCGCAAGGGUGAAAUGGUGGUGUAAGAGACCACCGGUGCCAGUGGCGACAUUGGCAGCCAGGAAUGCCUUAUCCGGUGCAAUGCCAAAUAGGGAAGCAAUGGUGUGCCCACACCGCUUCCGGGUAGGCAGCUUGAGCCAAAGCGUGAGUUUUGGCCCAGAGGGAUAGACGUCAAUCCCGGCUCGCCGGGAUACAGAAUCCGGCUUAUUGAACUCCCGUGGA
rnacentral:RNase_P_RNA from 1 species